ACUCGGAAAGGCAUCUGAUCUAGGUCGGAAUCAUAAUCGACCACAAGGUCUCAGAAAAAAUCCCCAAAAAUCUCAAAGAAGAGUUCAACCAAGACAACGAGAUGCAGAGAAACAUAGUCGGAUCGUCGUCUAGGCUCUGAUACCAUGUAAACAUUGAGAUUAAACCGAAAAAUCAUGAAGAAUGUAGAGAGAGAAUCUAGAGAGAAGGAGGAGCGUCUGAGAGAAGACUCUGGAAGCCAGAGAAUUUUAUUAAACAAAAAACAAAAUGAAA
rnacentral:lncRNA from 1 species